UGUUUCAUUUACUAUGCCAAAAAAUCUAUGUAUAGAGCAGCUAUUAAAUACAAACAUGUUGCCCAAAAGUAAACACUUCUGAAACAAACCCCAGUGCAUGGGACAUGGAGGUCUGACAAUGCUGAACGUGUAUUGUAUAAUCAAUAUUAUCCCAUUAAACCCCCUAGAGUGUAAACUAGUCCAGACAUGACAUUUACAAUUCACAUGAGAGCAGUGAACUCUCAUUUUCGCUCAUUUGCAUGUUUUUUUCUUCACAGUCUUGCCUUGAAUCAAGAGCACUUCCUAUAGUUCAUCAUGUCAAGUACAUAUGUGCUCUCCCAGAAAACCACAGGUUUCCCAUGGGAAAGUUCCCCAAAGUCCUGGAGAGUCUGCUUAGAGAUCAGGUCAUAACAGAUAAGCAGAUUGACUCCACGGACCUUAUGGGAUGUGUGCAUACAGAUGAGUACCUGUCCAACUUUAUCAGUGGCGAAAUAAGUGAGAAUGAUCAGAGACUAACCGGAUUCCUAUAGAGUUCUGGUUUAGAACAACGCUGCAGAUUGCAGAUAUGAAACAGGGUUAUGGAACAGCAUUCAUAUUUAAGGAUGAACCGGAUGUUUUCACCUUCUCAGUGCAUUGUGGGAAAAACGUUCCUGUGAGAAAACAAGUCACCUAGAUUUUACAUUGAAGACAAAGAGCAUGUUUC